rnacentral:rRNA from 1 species
AUUGAACGCUGGCGGCAGGCUUAACACAUGCAAGUCGAACGGAGUGGCGGACGGGUGAGUAAUGCCUAGGAAUCUGCCUGGUAGUGGGGGCUAACGUCCGGAAACGGGCGCUAAUACCGCAUACUAUCAGAUGAGCCUAGGUCGGAUUAGCUAGUUGGUGGGGUAAAGGCCUACCAAGGCGACGAUCCGUAACUGGUCUGAGAGGAUGAUCAGUCACACUGGAACUGGGACACGGUCAAGACUCCUACGGGAGGCAGAAGUGGUGAAUAGUGGACAAGGGGCGAAAUCCGGAGCCAGCCAUGCCGCGUGGGUGAAGAAGGUCUUCGGAUUGUAAAGCACUUUAAGUUGGGAGGCGUUACCAACAGAAUAAGCACCGGCUAACUUCGUGCCAGCAGCCGCGGUAAUAC